rnacentral:rRNA from 1 species
AGAAUUGGUAGAGACAACAGGGAUUGCCUUAGUAACGGCGAGUGAAGCGGCAACAGCUCAAAUUUGAAAUCUGGCCCUUGGGUCCGAAUUGUAAUUUGUAGAGGAUGAUUUUGGUGCGGUAUCUUCCGAGUUCCUUGGAACAGGACGCCUUAGAGGGUGAGAGCCCCGUACGGUUGAAUGCCUAGCCUCUGUAAAUCUCCUUCGACGAGUCGAGUAGUUUGGGAAUGCUGCUCUAAAUGGGAGGUAAAUUUCUUCUAAAGCUAAAUAUUGGCCAGAGACCGAUAGCGCACAAGUAGAGUGAUCGAAAGAUGAAAAGCACUUUGAAAAGAGGGUUAAAUAGCACGUGAAAUUGUUGAAAGGGAAGGAUUUGUGACCAGACUUUUUCUGGGCGGAUCAUCCGGGGUUCUCUCCGGUGCACUUCGCCCAGUAAAGGCCAGCAUCGGUUUUCGGCGUGGGAUAAAAGCAGUAGGAAUGUGGCUCUCUACGGGGAGUGUUAUAGCCUAUUGUAUAAUACCGCGCUGGGGACCGAGGUUCGCGCUUCUGCAAGGAUGCUGGCGUAAUGGUUAUCAAUCACCCGUCUUGAAACACGGACCAAGGAGUCGAACAUUUGUGCGAGUGUUUGGGUGUUAAACCCUCACGCGUAAUGAAAGUGAACGGAGGUGAGAGCCCUUACGGGUGCAUCAUCGACCGAUCCUGAAGUUUUCGGAUGGAUUUGAGUAAGAGCAUAACUGUUCGGACCCGAAAGAUGGUGAACUAUGCGUGGAUAGGGUGAAGCCAGAGGAAAACUCUGGUGGAGGCUCGCAGCGGUUCUGACGUGCAAAUCGAUCGUCAAAUCUGCGCAUGGGGGGCGAAAAGACUAAUCGAAACCAUCUAGUAGCUGGUUACCGC